UCUUGGCCUUGGCGGCGGCGG
rnacentral:misc_RNA from 1 species